rnacentral:rRNA from 1 species
ACCUACGGGAGGCAGCAGUGGGGAAUAUUGCACAAUGGGGGGAACCCUGAUGCAGCGACGCCGCGUGAGUGAAGAAGUAUUUCGGUAUGUAAAGUUCUGUCGUAGGGGACGAAAAUGACGGUACCCUGCAAGAAAGCUCCGGCUAACUACGUGCCAGCAGCCGCGGUAAUACGUAGGGAGCAAGCGUUGUCCGGAAUUACUGGGUGUAAAGGGAGCGUAGGCGGGAGGAUAAGUUGAAUGUGAAAUCUAUGGGCUCAACCCAUAGCUGCGUUCAAAACUGUUCUUCUUGAGUGAAGUAGAGGCAG